AUUGAACGCUGGCGGCAUGCCUUACACAUGCAAGUCGAACGGCAGCACGGGAGCAAUCCUGGUGGCGAGUGGCGAACGGGUGAGUAAUAUAUCGGAACGUGCCCCGUCGUGGGGGAUAACGCAGCGAAAGCUGUGCUAAUACCGCAUACGAUCUAUGGAUGAAAGCGGGGGAUCGCAAGACCUCGCGCGAUUGGAGCGGCCGAUAUCAGAUUAGCUAGUUGGUGAGGUAAAGGCUCACCAAGGCGACGAUCUGUAGCUGGUCUGAGAGGACGACCAGCCACACUGGAACGGAGACACGGUCCAGACUCCUACGGGAGGCAGCAGUGGGGAAUUUUGGACAAUGGGCGAAAGCCUGAUCCAGCAAUGCCGCGUGCAGGAUGAAGGCCUUCGGGUUGUAAACUGCUUUUGUACGGAACGAAACGGUGAGCUCUAAUACAGUUUGCUAAUGACGGUACCGUAAGAAUAAGCACCGGCUAACUACGUGCCAGCCGCCGCCGUAAAAC
rnacentral:rRNA from 1 species